rnacentral:rRNA from 1 species
UACGUAGGGGGCUAGCGUUGUCCGGAAUCAUUGGGCGUAAAGCGCGUGUAGGCGGUCCGGUAAGUCCGCUGUGAAAGUCGGGGGCUCAACCCUCGGAUGCCGGUGGAUACUGUCGGGCUUGAGUACGGAAGAGGCGAGUGGAAUUCCUGGUGUAGCGGUGAAAUGCGCAGAUAUCAAGGAGGAACACCAAUUAGCGAAGGGCAG